CCAGCAUCACUUUCUGUGUAGGGACUGCUGUUCUUGGAGUUCAUGUGAAGGAAUGUCUUUUUAAAUAAUGCUACUCUGAUGCCAUAAUUUUCUAUGGCUCACUAGCUACACUCCCUAGGCAUGAGGACUGAUUCCUGUUCAUCUGACAAACAUUCAAUGAAUGUCUACUAGGUGCCAGGUUCUGGGGAACAGGCAGGGUACAGUCACUGGUGGCCAAGAGUCUUGGGUAACAUCCUGGGUUGCAAUCUCCAAGUUGAUCUUACUGGAAAAGACUCAGAGCCUCAGCAAGAACAAUGGAGAGAGAGUGGCUCAGUACUUGAAUGUGGGGCUUUGGGCCAGAAACGCAGGGUCGGGAUUUAGGUGUCUUACCACUUCACUGCCCUGUGUGGGCUGUCAUCAGAGCUCUCCGUGUGGGUCAGUACACCCCCACCCCACCCCCAGAAAGAGGGCCUUCCCCUGCAGUCCUCUGCUGCUCCUGAGGGUGGGAGCAAGAUGGCAUCCGAGGUGGUGGGCUCAGGGAUAGCAGUGUUCGUUGCGAGUGCAAUCUCACUACAAAAUAUGUUGUCACACUGGAAAUUGUACAUUUUUUUUUAAAAGAAAAGGUAUAGUUUUAUAACUGAGAUGUACCUAAAUUAUGACCAUUUGGUUUACGAGUAUUCUACUGUGAUAUGAAAAGUUCCUGUAUUUUCAAUAACUUUUCUAUUAAAAUUGUUUUAACUCUUUUUAA
rnacentral:lncRNA from 1 species